GGUAAAUUAGCUCAGUUGGUAGAGCAUGAGACUCUUAAUCUCAGGGUUGUGCCCCACACUNGGUACCA
rnacentral:tRNA from 1 species